GUGUCAGCCGCCGCGGUAAUACGUAGGUGGCAAGCGUUGUCCGGAUUUACUGGGCGUAAAGGAUGCGUAGGCGGAUAUUUAAGUGAGAUGUGAAAUUCCCGGGCUUAACUUGGGAGCUGCAUUUCAAACUGGAUAUCUAGAGUGCGGGAGAGGAGAAUGGAAUUCCUAGUGUAGCGGUGAAAUGCGUAGAGAUUAGGAAGAACACCAGUGGCGAAGGCGAUUCUCUGGACCGUAACUGACGCUGAGGCAUGAAAGCGUGGGUAGCAAACAGGAGUAGAUUCCCGGGUAGUCCACGCCGUAAACGAUGAGUACUAGGUGUAGGAGGGUCCAACCUUCUGUGCCGCAGUUAACACAAUAAGUACUCCGCCUGGGAAGUACGAUCGCAAGAUUAAAACUUAAAGGAAUUGGCGG
rnacentral:rRNA from 1 species